ensembl:snRNA U6 U6 spliceosomal RNA
AUGCUUGCUUCGACAGCACAUCUACUACAAUUGGAAAGAUACAGAGAUUAGCAUGGCCCCUGUGCAAGGAUGACAUGCAAAUUCGUGAAGCAUCCCCUAUUUUA